AGCAUAUCCUAUGGAAAAUCUAUUUUUAAUAUUCCAUAAUGUUUUGAGUUUAGUCUAUUAAAUAUCAAAAAAGAGCAGAAAAAUUAAUUUUUUCCAUAUCUUAUUAUUUUUUCGUUUUUCGGGUCAUCUUAAACGCUCCCUAGAGGUUUAGCCACUGUAAACUAUAUAAAUUAAACGCAAAUUGUGAUUCAACCUACGUUUUUUUCCCACGUUGGCUAACUUUGAAUAAUUUAACCCAGUCAGCGUAAAAUCUCGCUCGUAUCGAUAGCCCCAUAUCCUGAAUCUAUUUUAUUAAGAGUAACAUUGAAAGGGAUAUCUUAUAUAACUGUGGAUUCUGGUCUUGUUGAGGGUGAGCAACCGUCACCGAGCCUAUCACCCAUGAAGCAAGUUUGGUGCCCCCGCAUCGGAGUUCAGUCGAGACACCACCGAACACAAGUAUUGUCCGAACUAAGACCACUAUUACUCCUGAGCUAUUGCUAUUUAAUAAGUUUAGUGGAGUAACUGCACUAGAAUUUGGACGAGGGGCAACGGUCAGCGGCGAUCCCAAAGCAUGUAAGGGGACAGAAGGUAACUUGUACGGUGAAACUUCUUCUGACAGCCCCAAUACCCGGGACAAGACGUUGACAACAUAAUGACGAAUUACCAGUCAAGCCCUAGGAGCGUGGUUUGGUCAGCUACCUACUCACUGACACAACGGUCGGCGUAUAAAACUGUGUACGAGCUGCAGUCUGUCCAGUAAUAAGACAGCUGCGCGUUCCAGGCAUGCGCCGAGCGGUGCCAUAUAAAUUCAGCAUUUAUCUCUCUAAAAGGUACGUGAACUUUGGGCUGAAAAAGACACUCUCUCUCUAUAUAUAGAUAUUUUCCGGUCAUCUAAUUUAACCAUCGGAGAGCCGUUUCUCGAAAACAGCUCUAGCGGUCGUUCUUACUGUUUCUGUGUCUCAGCUAGGCACAUUGUUGACUGAUGACUGACUGCAGUAGCUUGCUCUGCCACAGGACUACCGCAGGUGUGUAUCCUCGAUUUCUUCUCUCUUUUCGUGAACUCACUUCCACGAAACACAAAUAAGCAAUCCCAAGAGUUUAAGCAGAGUAAACUCACUCUAGUAUAACGUUAGUAAUGCAAGUUACAAUGCUAAUUGAAAUUGAAAUGUUGUUAUAUGAUAACAUGAGAUAUAAGCAAUGGGAAUUGUUGAAUACGAGUUCACAAUAAUGUUCUUGCGUUUGAAUCUCUGCAAAUUUACACCAGGAUUGAUGAAUAUGGUCCCAACUUUCCUUUGCGCAUUUUUCUUUGAGACGGGGAAGUUUUAAAAUAUGCCAAAGACUGUGAAAUGGGUGAGGUUGAGGGGGGUCGCAUUGCUUUCUGUUGUGGGCAGUUCAGCGUUCACGGCUUCGUUAUUCGAGAGACUGAGAGAAGAAAGGUUUCCCAAUCACUCGCAACGAUUUCACCAGAAAAUCUUUUGAAAAGAACCUUAGUGUGAAUUUUGCAGGUAACAAAUUCUAUGUGAUAAAACUAUUAAUCUAACCAUAAUAAAUGCGGGGGGUCAGUAAAGAAGUAGAUAAUAGACAUCAGAUAUACAUUGGAAACUCUAAGGGACGAGGAAAAAUCAUGGGGAUAAAAGAAGAAUGCACUAUACAAAAAGUAGCGAAUACAAGAGUUACUUACAAUCCUAUCUUGAAUCCACACACCCGGAUGUCAAACUCGUUGCCGAAUCCUCAUAAACUGCCUCCGUGCAAUUUUUCUCGCGCCUCAACUUCUUCAUCUAACUCGGAGUCCACCGAACCUUCAACCGUACUUUCGAACACCUUCAAAGGACUUUUUCUUUGAGUUGUCUGAUUUACAAACCCUUAAGAGUUCAUCAACACCUCUGGAUUAAUAGAUCAUGCAAAAUGUUUUUGAGUACCAAAAUCCUAGUCUCUUGUUCUUCAAUAACGGCGUCGUUACUUUAAAAUAUUGCUCUCCUCUUAUAUUAAAAACUAAAACACGAAUUUCAUCUCCGAGUGGCUCGCCAAUUUACUCGCGGGACGAGCAAGCGAAGUUAAAGCAAAAUGUUAUUGACUAUCAAAUCCCUAGUCUCUUGUUCUUCAGAAAUGGCGCCGCUAGUUUAAAACACCGCUUCUCCUCUUAUGUUAAAAAAUUGAAAUGUGAAUUUCAUGACCGAGUGGCUUGGUAGUUUGCUCGCUGGGCGGGCGAGCGAAGUUAAAGCAAAAUGCUUUUGAGUACCAAAACCCUGGUCUCUUAUUCUUCAGAAAUGGCAAUGUUAGUUUAAAAUAUUGCUUCUCCUUUUAUAAAAAAAAACUGACACGCGAAUUUCGUCAAGUGGCUCGGCAGUUCGCUCAUGGGGUGAGUGAGUGAAGUUAAAGUAGAAUGUGGCGCGACCUUCGUUUCAAAAUUGCACUUUUGGUCCCUAUGGUUUUAUAAAUCUUCAUAUCUUUUAAUUACUACCGAUAUGACCCUAAAACUUUUUUAAAUGACAACUAUAGGUGCUAGAUUCACAUAUUAACACAUAAAAAUAAUACUUGGGGGAGAAAUUAUAAUAAAUACAAAUUAAAUAUUUUGUCUCACACAUUGGCAAACCCUACGGAGAAAUUCUUAUCCAAACAAUUUCUCCAUUUGUCGCGGUACUGUGACACAAAACAUUAACAAGGAAAAUACCUACCCAAAACCAGUGUAUGUACAAGUUUAAUCCUGAUGUAACAAAGAAACCAUAAUAGGGACAAACAAUAUAAGACAGAAUAGAUAUAACAUGUGAAGCAAUUAGCAAACUAGAAACUACCCUUAGCAUCCAUCAUGCAUAGAAAGCAAGUCCUAAACAACUCCAUUAACCAUCAACAAGGAUUAAACAAAAUAUAAGGAGUAUGGACGAACUAAGGCGUGUUGGGGGUUGUGAAUGUGGGGGACUGCAUUCCAUAGCUAGGGCGGGUGAACAACAGCAAUGGCUUGAAUAGGAGAGUGAAGAGAGGUGUCAAGGAAUUGGAGAUUUUAUGGAAAGUGUAACUGGUAGAUGAAGUGGAGUUUAAGGGAGGAAGAGAGAGAAAUGGGGGAUGUGAGAGAAAGAAGGGACUUUGUGGUGUUUUUACUUGGGAAUUCGGAGAGAAUGGGGCUGCUUUCACCUUCAUAGAGUGCCUCAAAGCUAUCAUAUUGGUAAGUUCAAGAUAUUCCUGUUCACCUCACUUUCUCUAAUAUAUUUCCUAUUUUUCUGUAUUUAGGUUGUGCUUGGAUUAGUUUUUUUUUUAUUUAUUAACUCGUAUCCAGCCUAAUGACCGCUAAUCUGGGGAUCAAAUUCCCCCGUUACUAGCAAGGGACCAAGUAAAGUCGAAACAAAGCUGUAGAACCAGUCUGACCUAGGAUGAUAUAGGAUCUAGGAGGUUUCGAACUUUAGACAUUGGAAGGGAGCAAAUUGUGUUUGGAUUAAGAAUUUGGUGAGAAAAAAAAAUUAGAAAAAAAUUAAAAGAUCUUACAAUUCCGAACUGUUAGAUCCUAUAAAUUUUCUAUUUACCUCACCAAAUCUUUAAUCCAAAAACAGCCUUAGAGAACCUUCAAUCUUUCUCCAUUUCUCCAAAAAGGGAGAAUAAACUCUUGUACCGCUAUGUAACUUAAUGUGAGAUUAAACUCUAUUGAUAUCUCGGAAUGGAAGGUAGGUUAAUUUGUCGAACCACUUAAAAAUUGUGGCUUUUUGUGGUUGAGGUCGUUAGUUUUUCAAUUAAAUUCUGAUAUUUCUCAUCAAGAAAUCUAAUCUCAUAUUUGUUUUUACUAGGACAUGUUUGCGGCUGGAACGAUACUAAAAUAAACAGAUCUAGAGUAGUUGAUGGCAGCAGUGUUUGAGACACCCCUAGUGAUGAGGAAGGAAAAAACUACAAAAUGAGUGCGAGGGAUCGGCAAAGGAAACAAGUCACUACGAGGACAAUUUUAGAGGAAAAUGCAAUACUAAAGUUGUGAUGUCAAAAAGAAAAAAAAAGAUAAUUAUUCUUUUUUCACCAUUAUAUUUUGAUAAGAAAGGAAACAAGGGAUGCGGAGAUCAGGAACUCUAGAUAAGAAGCUCUAGAAUUAGAGAGAAGAUGAGGUAAAAUAAAAAGUUGGAAAUAUAAAAAAAAUAAAGUUCAAAAAGUUAAAUAAUCAACCCCUUUUUGUAUCUUUUACUUAUUUCCUUAUUUAAACAUGAAGGCGAAUUUUUCUUUUAUUUUUUUUCUUUAUGAUACCACAAUUAUUUUUUUUCAUUUCUCACCCAGCAUGUUAAACAAAGUGUUUCGAGUUAAAUAAGCCUGUAAUUAUAAAAGCCCCAUGGAAUGCAGGAGAGGAUCAUUUCACAUUUUUGCCAAUCUAGAAUUCUUAUUAAAUUAAAUAUUUUUUAUUUUGCAAAGAUACACGAAAUGAGCUUGUCAACAAGAUCAUUUCCAAAGUAAGAAACAACUCCAUCAAGCAACGAGAAAAAUGCAACGGUGCGACCCACAACCCAUUUAAGAAUUAGGAAACUAAGAAAAUUUGAAUGUCAAUCCAGACCCCUCAAAUUUUUCUUGGAUGAGCUAUUCAUUGGUUAUACCAUGGAAGGAGUAGGUAAUUGGACCAAUCUCCUACCUUGCUGUUGGAAAAAAGUCAUCUUGUCAAGACAGGAAAAGUUGGCCCUUGUUAUUAACGUAUAGGUUUUUCAGAUUCUCAAACUGACACACCUCGAACGUUCUUCUACCACUCCAUGUCUCUCUGCUCCACGGGAGAAUGGAAACCCCAAGAACUCAGCCAACAACUUGGGUUUGUGAAAAAACAAGUCCUCCUUUAAAUCUUCAUAAUACUCAGAAACACACUUUCCGGCUUCUCUUGGCUUGCCUUCCAGUAUAUAUCCAAGAUAUGAUCCAGAGGGGACAAAAAAAGGACGAGUCCCGAUGCAGAACCUAUCCUAUUGAAAGUCUCGUCGAUGGAAAUGGAAGAGUGGGUCCUCUGACGGGAGCUUGGCAAAGAAAUGCCAAUUGGACAUGAAUUGGUCCACGGGUUCGGCAAAGUAGACAAGUUCUACAUUUUGAAUCCGUGUGGAGGUUCGGAAGCACGUCAUACGUAGCGUGGUGGAGAAAAUCCUCGGGUCGCGAUUUCCUUCAAAGUAGGAAGGAUGGAUUGUAGAGGUGAAUGCAAAGGAAGGAAACAAGCUGUGGGGUUGGUGAUGGAAAGAGCACUGGGUUCCGCAAGCGGGUAGCGGGUUUCUAGUCACGAUGGUGAACCCUUUAAGGGCCUUACCACCACGUUGUACCCGAUGUGGGUUGGAAGUUAGAUUAGGUUCCGGUCUUGUGCGGAAGUGCUUACAAAAGGAGAUAUUCCCCGAAGGGCGAUUCUUGACACCAGAGCCUUGGUUAGAAUAGAGAACUUCGCAUCAAAGUUUCUUUCUUGGGGAAGGUUGUUGAUCAAACAGCCUCUAAUGGGCUCUCUGGUUUUUAACCUCUCUUGAUGUGCACACUGUUAUUUGAUUUCUCCAUUAGAAUGGUAGGGACUUGGCCGAUGAGGGAAUAAUGGAAAUAGUAAAUCUAGGCAAGCUAGUUUGAGGCAAGUAUGAGCUGAUGAAGCCAAGCCACCGUUAUAGUUUCUUAUCUUUUCCCACACCUUUAGUCCCUUCCGAUGAUUACUUAUACUAUCAUCUAGGCUAGAUUUAUUUAUUUAUUUCAUUUUUUGCAUUUGCAUUGAGUGAGUUAAAACAUUACAUUAAUGGAGGUGUGACUACUCCAAUACUAAGUGAUAAUAGAAAACAUUAAUGAGGAAGACAACAAAAUUAAAAAAUAAUGAUUAUGGACAAAUUAGCUUUUUCGUGCCCCACAUUUCACAAACAAUCGUAUAUUUUUUCUUCAGGACAGAAAGAAAACGCAAAAAAGGGUAAUCGAAGUGAAAUCAUGCAAAAUAAAAGAAGGAUUAGACUUCUAUGCGGUCACCACCCCCCCCCAACCCCACCCCCACCGUUCCACCCUAACUUCAUAUUGUAUGUAGGACUCAUCGAGAACAUUAACACGGUUAAAAAAUUAAAUCCUUAUGAUUGAUCCAAUUAAUAAUCGACAGAUCACUUUACGUCAAGAAAAAUGAAUAUAAUUUGUAUGCUAUAUUUAUUUAUAAAUUAUAAAACAGUAUUGAAACGGAUGUCGAUUGCAUCCGAUCAACAUAUUUUUUUUCAGAAUUAAUAUUCACAUGAGUAUAAAUCUUUAAACCAUUUUAUACCAUCACAAUGGACACCAAAAUGAUAAAAAUAAAUAUAAUUAAAAAUAUAGAAGAAAAAAUAAAGUGUGAAAAGUUAAAUACCCAAAAACUUUUGUUCUUUUCUAUUAUCACCAACAUGAGGUUAACAAAGACUAAUAUUAUUCUUUUUUGUGAGAGGACAAUAAAUAUUUUUUACUUUCUCAUCUUGCACCCAAACAAGGUGUUUAGAGUUUAUUUAUAAGGCUGUAUUUUGAGCCUUUAUUUGUGUCUCCUAUUUUUUCAUAGUUUAAUUUUUUCAUACAAUCGUAGACACUAUUUAAGUAAAAGAAAGCCUAUUCAAACCUCAAGGGUACUAAUGUAUUAGCCUUAAAUCUCAAAGAAGGAUAGGAUAAUUUAGCCCGUAAAAAAACUUAAAACCAGGAUGUGGAUUCUUGUGAUUUAGGUGCUAUAAAUUUUGGAGGAAAGUGCAUCCUAAUGGAAAAGCUAAUUUUUAUGAUUUCAUAAUUUUUUUGAUAACUGAAUAUCAAAAAAGAUGCAGAAAAAUUAAAUUUUCCAUACUUUCCUAUUUUUUCCGGGUAUCUUAAUGCAUCUCUAGUGUUUAAGACAAUGCUAACUGUAUAAAUGAAACUAACAACUGUGAUCAACCUAUGUUUUGCAGGUUGGCUACUUUGAAUAAUUUUACCAAUAUCAAUAAAAUCUCUCUCAUCGAUAUCCCAAUAUCUGAAUCUAUUUUAUUUUUAAGAGUGAAGCUUACUCUCGUAUUAACUGUUAGUAAUGGCAAUUACAACUGCUAAUUGGAAAUUGAAACUCUGUUCUACGAUAACAUGAGAUCAUAAGCAAUUGCGAAUUGUUCUUGCGUUUGAAUCUCUUGCCAAUCGAUCAGGAUUGAUGGAAUAUGGGCCGUCUUGUGCCAGUCAUGUCCAACUUACCCUUUUGCAUUUUUCUUUGAGAAGGGGACAGCUAAAUAAUGCGUAAUGCUAUGGGUACAACCAAGUUGUACCCUAAAUACACACUUGAUGAGGUGUCGCAUUUGGGUUGGCUAAGUGUGGGAUCCACCCAGUCCUUUCACCCCACACCCAGCCAACCCAAAUGCGAUGCCUUAUCAGAUGUGCAUUUGGGGUACACAUUGUUUGUACCCAUAGCAUUUUCCAUAAAUAAUGCCAAAGACUGUAAUUGGGUGAGGCGUCCCAUCGCUUGGUUGUGGGCACAGAUUCAUAAGUUCACCGGGCUGGCUUCGUUAAUUUAGAGAGGACUGAAGAGAGAAAGGUUUCACAGUCACUCGACAGCGAUUUCAACAAAUAAACUCUUGAAAAGAAGCUUAGUACGCAUUGCCAAUUACAAAAUUUAUAUAUAAUAAAACUAUUAAUCUAACCAUAAUAAACGUAUAGUAAGCAAGUAAUAAAUAAUAGACAAUAGAUAUGCGUUGGAAACUUCCAAAAAAAGAAAAAAUCAUAGGAUAAAAAGAAGAAUGCACUAUCAAAAAAGUAGCGAAUACAAGUGUUACUUGCAAUCCUAUCGUGAAUCCACACACCUGGAUGUCGAAUUUUUGCCGAAUCCUUAUAAACCGCCUCCGUGCAAUUUUUCUCGCGCCUCAACAUCUUCAACCAACUCGGAGUCUACCGAGCCUUCAAUUGUACUUUCGAGCACCUUCAAAGAACUUUUUCUUCGAGUUGAUUGAUUAACAAACCCAUAAGGGCUCAUCAACACCUCUGUAUCAAUAGAUCAUGCAAAAUGUUCUUGAGUACCAAAAUCCUAAUCUCUUAUUCUUCAAAAACGGCAUUGCUAGUUUAAAAUAUUGCUUCUCCUCUUAUAUUAAAAACUAAAGCGCGAAUUUUGUCACCGAGUGGCUUGGCAGUUCGCUUGUAUGGUGGGUGAGCGAAGUUAAAGCAGAAUGUUCUGGACUACCAAAACCCUAGUCUCUUGUUCUUCAGAAAUGGCACCGCUGGUUUAAAACACUGCUUCUCCUCUUAAGUUAAAAAACUGAAACGUGAAUUUCAUCACCAGGUGGUUUGGUAGUUUGCUCGUUGGGUUGGUGAGCGAAGUUAAAACAAAAUGCUUUUGAGUAUCAAAACCCUAGUCUCUUAUUCUUCAGAAAUGGCAUUUGCUAGUUUAAUUAUCGCUUUUAUGAAAAACUGAAAUGCAAAUUUCCUCGUCAAGUAGCUUGGUAGUUCGCUCGUGGGGCUGGUGAGUGAAGUUAAAUUAUAAUGUCGUGCACUCAAUUCACUCAGCGGGGUGGAAAAGAUACCUAGUAUUAAAAUGAACUUGUGGUCCCAUAGUUUAUAAAAGCUUCAAUCUUUGAUACUGCCACCCUAAAAUUUUUUAAAUGACAACUAUAGGUGUCAGAAUCACAUAUUAACACUCAAAAUAAUACUUGGAGGGAGAAAUUAUAAUAAAUACCUAUAACAUUGCUUACCUCAAUCAAACACAUUGACAAACCUUACGGGAGAAUUCUUGUCCCAACAAUCUCUCCAUUUGUCGAUGCUGUGACAAAACAUCUAACAAGGAAAAUACCUACCCAACAACCAGUGUAUGCUCCAAGUUUGAAUCCUAUAACAAAGAAACAUAACAUAACAAGAUAAACAAUAUACGACAGAAUAGAUAUAACGUGUGAAGCAUAGCAUAACCAAAAACUACCAUUAGCAUUCAUCAUGCAUAGAAAGCAUAGUCUAAACAACUACAAUCAACAAGGAUAAACAAAUCUAAGGAGGUUAUGGACGAACUUACGGCGUUGUUGGGGACCAAUUCCACCGUUUACUAGCGAUAGGGUCGAUUGAAAUUGGGACAAAGCCUCGUAUAUACUGUCCCGACCGAAGAAUUGAUAGAACCUAGAAAGUUUUGAACUUUAGACAUUGGACGAGAACAAAUUGUGUUUUGAUUAAGAAUUUAGUGAGAAAAAAAAUUAAAAGAAAAAUUAAAGGAUCUUGCCAUUCCGAACCUAUUAAAUCCUAGAAAUUUUUUUAUUAUCUUACAAAUUCUUAAUUCAAAUACAACCUUAGAAAAACCUUCAAUCUUUCUCUUCCAUUUCUUCGUCAAAACGGGAGAAUAAACUUACGUACCACUAUAACUUAGAUGUAGAGGGAUUAAACUUUAUGAUCUCCUCGAAUGGAAGUAGGUUAGUUUGUCGAACCACUUAAUAAUGUUACCUUUGUGUGGUUUGAGGCACUAGGUUUUUUUUUUUUCCUUGAUGGCUGAGGUUGUCGCUAGUUUUUUUUUUUUUUAAUUGAAUUUCUGUAUAUUUCUCAUCAAGAUAUCUAAUCUCAAUUUGUUCUAUACACAAGUUGCGGCUGGAACCGAUCCUACAUACACAACUUAGAGUUGGUGGAUGGCAGUGUCUUUUUGACACACCUCUGUUAUGAAAAACUACAAAAUGAAGUGCGAGGAUCGGCAAAUGUAACAAGCCCUAACCGAGGACAAUUUAUUAGAAAAUGCAUACCUAAUCCCUUGAUCAAAUAGGCACUCUCUGCUUACAACCCUCCGCUUCCACUACUAUUACCACCCUGAGAAACGACCCAGAUAUCUAAAACAUGGGCUACUACGACAUUGCAAUCGGGCACGCAAGUGAUUAUCAAUGCCUGGGCCGUCGGCGAUACCCUUUGUUCGUAGGGCCGAGCCCGGGGUGUAUUCGGCCUGAAGAGGUUUUUGAAUAUUGAUUUUCAAGGGAUCAACGAAUUUGCUUAACCCUCAUUCGGUGCCUGCCAGGAGGUGGUGGCCCUGGAUUCAAUUUGCUGCGAGUGCUUUAUGUCUAUGGUGGUAGCACAAAUCUUGUGUCCAAAUUUGACUUUGCCUUUGCCUUAUGCUACUGCUACAACAGACAGCAAUAACCUCUCAUAGCGUUUAUGACUCCUCGCUAAUUGUACCCCAUGAUAUACAUAAAAAAAGUAUACCGCAUUGAUGCCAUCUAUGAUUAUCCUCUUGUGCUUUUUGACAGUGUAACCCAUAGUCCCUCUUCCCUCGGACUCAAUUGGGCUUGGUGGAAUACUGGGCUAUAAAAAAAAAAAAACGUAGUCAUUUCUCAUCAAUACUAGAAAGAUGGAGAGCUUAUUUUGCAUAUCAACAUCAGUUUUGUCAACAAAAUUGCUGAGGCCCUUCUAAGAAAAUAGGGACGCAAUAAUUAAAUGAGGGAACCUAUGUCUUUGCUGAUUCUUGUGGAAAUCUCAUGACUGAUAACUCAACCAUAUUCUUCUUUCAUGUUGCCUCAUUGGAUUGCCAUAUCAUUCCUUUGAGAAAAUGAAAACAUCAAUUAUUAUGGCUACUGAGGCACCCUCGGCUAAGAUAUGACAUCGACAUAUAUAAAGGCCAAAUAAAAAUAAGCAUUAAUAUGCCCAUGGGUAUGGAAGCAGACAAUCCAUGGAAGUCAAACAAUAUCUAUCCAUUAAAUAUUUCUAAUGAGAGUCAAGUAGAGCAGGCUCAUGCAGGGCUCAAGCGCACAUCCCCGUUUUUGUGCUAUUUUAUUCUACUUGUUUCAUAAUCAAUAUAUUCCUUCAGCUUUACAACAAGAACCAUCUGGCAUGCCGGAAACUUGAACGUCCCAAGUAAUAAAAGAAUUAUAAAUUCACAGUAAAUUCCAUAGUUUUGCCAUUAUAAAAAAGUUUAUACAUUGCUAGUAAAGUAAUUAAAUUAUUGUGUCGGGAAUUGGUCGAUUGUACUUAAUCCAAUGUAUGAUACCUAGGAGGAAAAGGUACUUGCUAGUCAACUCAACAUUUACAACACACAUAAAAAGCUAUAACCAUGGGAGUGAGUGACAAGUUGUUCUCUUCUUUCUCUUCUCCAAUGGUUAUAUAUCCCAAAUCACCCAGUAAACUUACGAUGUAGGAUGAAAGGUCGCCUGCACGAAAAAUCUCACAUAGAUGUGCAAGCAUUCAAUAUUUUACUUGUUUUGUUGUUGUGGUCGUGUGUUGUUUUGGUGGUGGGGGUUGGGGGCGUUUUUGCUGUUAUAAGCGUUUGGGCAUUCCUGUGAUUAGUGCUUUAUUCUAAAGUGUGGCCUAUUAGAACAAUGAACACCAAAGCCUGUUAACCACAUUCUGACUUAUCUAGUCACCCCAGCAUCAACAAUUUGUUUUUUGGUUUUUUUUUGGGGAGGGUGGGUGGGGAGAUAUUUAGAAACAUUUCUCUCUUUUAAUAGCCAAAAGUACCAUUCUGUGCUUUCAGUAAUCAAGUGUGCAGCCAACAAAACUAAAUAAAUACAGUAUGUCAACCUUUUGUGCUUUCAAGAUCAAAAUAGUAACAUAAUCAUUCAUUAAAAAAAUUAUAAGAAAGAUUAGUGUAUUAGUGUGCGUAAGCCGAAAAAGUAGCAAACAAUAAUUUGAAUUAAGUUUACCUUUAUUACGUUAGUUAUUGAUCUUUUUCUAUCUGACCAAAUUUCAGUGUAGGGUGAGACUAAGCUCUCAAAACAGACCAGACUCUCCACUUAAGAAAAGCACAGACUUUUCGAAUUGCUGAUUCUUCAUGUAAUCAUCGUUCGGUUUGUAAAGAACUAAUUGCGUGCCGAAUUGCCAGCAAAUUUCACACCAUUCUUUGAAAUCCACAAAGGAUUUAGAGAACCCAUAGUCUCAACCAUUACUCACUUUCCCUUCAAAAUGUAUCCUCCAUCCUUCAAAUUUCAAUUAUAUAAAAAUUUCACUAAAAAAAAAACAACAUAAUCAAAUGAAUCAAUAUUUAAUAUUGGUCUUAUUCUAUAGGUAUUAUACAAUAUCUUUUUAAUUGUGUCUGAUUUUAUGAAAGUAAUUUAAUUGUAAGUAAUUAUUUUUACCAAAAGAACAGUGAAAAGUGAUAUGAAUUAGAAGGUUUCUCCUAAUUUUUUGAAUGCGUAUGGGGGAAGGUUAAUGAGGGCUGUGGAUACAGAAACCUUUUAGGAAGAUGGCGACAAUUCGAAACUACCACGACCAGCCGGAGGUGGAGGAGGCGAGAGCUCAGGGCAACCGUAAUAGAAGAAGGUGCAGUGCAGUGACCAAGCUUAAGGGAGAGUGAAACAAGAUAGAUAACGGUAUAAAAAGGCAUAUAUGUGAUGUGAGGAUAUGAGAUGUAAGAUGUGAUUUCACUUGUGAUGGUCUAAUAUGUUUUUAUAUAGUGGUGGAGAGGGAACAAGCCCGCUCACUAAAGUACAGGUGAAGGUGCGUGGGACCGGGGUGGGUUGCGGGGGGGGGGGGUGGGCAUUGUUUGGUUAUUAUUGGUGGAUUUUGAAAAACACGGGGGCUGAAGAAGGUUAUGAAGUGGGUUUGGACAAGGCCUCCUACAAUUCCAAAGGAUCAGACCUGGGUUACGAAUAUCUUUGGUAAUCUAAAAUAGCAAAGGUGGGAGCCAGGUCCGGCGGGGGGUGUGUUAGUGGAAGUUACUCCUGCUUCAAGAGAUCCUAGUCAGCCUUGAGAAUAUGCCGUAGGAUUGUAAAUGGGCUUGGCAAGGUAAUUUUGGGGUUUGAUAUAAUUAGGGAGAGGGGUGGGAUAAACAAAUGUCAGUGGAUUGGUGUGAUACAUGUCCCCAUGUACCUGUGGGGAGGUAUGCUAUCAGUUGCAAGGUAUAGCUGUUUGGUGACAAAUCCCCCUCUCUUCUAUGAAUUGGUCAAAUUGGGAGCCAUCUUUGGAAGGAUCAUUUGACAACCCCUCGCUCGAGACUCCACAGAUCACAUUCCUCCUUUGGUCCGAUAGGUACCCUAACACGCCCUACCAAGCCUAGGUGACCUUUGAGUCAUUUUGAAUAUCUUGAGCGGAAAGUGUGGAGAUGGAAAUAUUUUCUAAGUAUUGGAUGAGGGCUCCGUGGAGUCUCUUAGGAGCUUGCCUUUGGAGGAUGAAGGCUCCCUUCUUGAGCGUUGGUUGUCUAAUGGUAAUAAAUGGAGAUAUGCUCCUAAGUAUUGGUGAGGGCCCAUGGGUCCCUCACCUUGGAGGUUAGAGUCUUCCGCGUGACUCUCAUUCAUCAUGUUGAUGUGGUGAUCCCCAAUUUAGGCUAGUCUCAGGAUCCAUUUGUUUGUGGAGGGUGUUAGAGCCGAGGCUCGUUCCUAAGGAUACUCCCAGAGCUCCGAUAGUUCUCUUGUAAGCUUGGUCCUGGAGGGGGAAUGCUCGAGGAGUGGAGCUUCUCCUCUGAGUUCCAUAUCCCCCCAUUAAUACCCCGUGCACACAUGGACUUAUGUACUCGAGUGGACUAAACUGUGUGCAUGCAUAUGGAGAUUCUUAGGAUGGAGCUUUUUGGCUCUGAGGUAUCGCAAGGAAUUCUUCGAGAGGGAAAUCGGUCCAAAUUCUAUAACCCACAUUGAGUAUCCAAAUAUAGAGAAUAAAAAUUAGAUCUCAUUUUGGAGGAUAAAAUGGAACAUAGCAUUUUUGGAGAUAUAAAGUAUGGGGGGAGUUGCUUGAACCAAAUACAAUUGUUAUCUCCUAGUGCUAUUUACAUUUCUAUUUACUACCAAAUCCAUUUUUUGAAAUCAUUAUCUAAAUGGAGGCUAGGGAGCUUCAGUUAUCUAUGUCGAACAUUCCUAUUCGAAAAAAAAAAUAUUAAAAAUUUAUAAACUUAUUUGCCAUUAACACCUUGAAGUUAGAUAAUUGGGUUCAAUCUCCACCUUUGUCUUCACAAUGAGUCAUUUUUGUCAUACCAAAGAGCAUUUGCCACUUUUAUUAUUUUUUAUUUUGUCAUGCGAUGGAAGAUUAUUUAUAAGUACCACGAGAAUGAAUUACAGUAAAAUGAACAGAUCAAUCAUGUAAGAAAGAUUAACAACACGUAUCUACAUAGUCAACAACUACAAAGUUAACACAAGAAAACCCAGGAAUAAGGAAGGAAGAAAGAAAUUACAUUCCACGGGUGCCUUGUGGAGGUGUCUAAAAUAACAUCAUACACAUGGAAUCUCAAAUAUCUUUGGACCAUUUUACUCAAUUAAAUUCGUGGGAUCCUUUAAGUAUAUAACCCCUAAGAAUUCUCAAUACACCCACAUUCUUUCUUCUUCUUCCAUUCACAAACCCAAGCCACCACUGCCUCACUCUCUCAUCUAUUUUCUUCCUCCAUCUCUCCUCUGCUCUCUCUCCCCCUCAAUCGCUAUUACCAUUCUACUACUCAUGAUCAUCCAUGGCUACCACAACACCCACCCCUCCCCCAUUGGCACUAUGCUACGCGGCUUCCUCAUCCUCCCCACCACCCUUGUCGCCUCCACUAUCCACCAUCCCCUUAGUCGAGCAGGUUACCAAUGCCCUAAUCUCGACCUUGAGAACUUGCAAUUAUUGUGUUGCAACUUUUUAACAUGAUCAAAGUUACAAGGGAUGUGUGCCGAGCGUAAUGACAAAUUGCAUGCGGUUGCGGUGAACAUAUAAAACCUGGCAACUUCCUUUUUCCCAUUUUGUCACUUGCAAUAAGGAGAUCUGAAAAACAUUCUUAUUGCUUCUAUAAGGGCUCUCAUCAGGCCUGGCCCGCCCCAGCCCGAUUAAAAGCCCGAGCCCGGAACCAGUCCAAGUCCGCGGGAUCUUUGACUUUGACGGGUCGGGCAGGACUUAGGAGGUAUCUUUGAAGUCUAAGCCGGUCUUGCGGCUUCGGUGAUUCGGGCUUUUUGGAUGUCGAACUUGUUGGGCCCAAAUGCGCCUAAGUGACCUCUAAAAUUGUAAAAGUUUAAUCUAUAUAGUUUAAAAAUAUAUUUAAAGUAUACAUUGAUCAUAUAUAAUUUAAAGAAAAAUGGAUCAAGUGUGAGAAAUUAAAAAAAUUUAAUACAAAUAAUAGUUAGUAGAGGGCUUUGCAUCACUACACAAUUUGUGCAUCCCAACUAGGUUGGCAUCCACAAAUGUGUCAAUUAUUUGCUCUCUACCAAGUUUACAUGAAUAUAAAAAUUUUAAAAUUACAAUAUUAAAUCAUUGCACCCACAAAUGUGUAUCAUUUUUGGGCCGGGCUUCGGGUUCGGACUUCAGGCCUUUUUCGGGCCGGGCUUUCGGGCUUUUUCGGGCCGAAUUUUCGGGCUUUUUCGUGCUCGGACUUCGGGCGGGCCCAGCCCGUUGGCUUCGGGCCGGGCCAUUUUUCGGGCUUCGGGCCUCGGGCCAUUUGGAGAGCCCUACUUUUAUAUAUUCUUGCCAACUACAUUUUAAAAAUAUUUCAGUCAUCAGAGUAAUAAAUUAUUUUUGUCUAGUUACAUGACUUUCAUAGCUUAUAAGACAACAUCAAACUUUAGUGAACAUUCUUCAGCCAAGAAGCAAAUAAAUAACUACAGCAUAGUCAACAUUUUUGUGGUUUCAACAUCCAACUUUAGCAUAUCAUGCACGCAUAUAUGAAUACAAAAGAAUAAAUAGUGUGUGUUGGAGGAUUAGUAGAUGACGAACUAAUGUGACCUUGAUCGCUCUCAUUACUGGUGUUGUCUCUGAACAGAUUAGGUGAGACUAGGACUCUCAAAAUAGGUAUCCGCUUCAAGAAAGUCAUAGAUGUUUUGAAUAUCAAGAAUCUUAGAUGUACCAUCUUUUGGAUUGUAGAGAACUAAUUGUGACCCAUAUUGCAACAAAAUUUCACCAUUCUGGGAAAUGCACAAAGGCCUGGAGAACCCAUCAUUACUUGGUUCUGGUAGAUACGAUAUUACGAAUAACUUAGUCCAAGACUCUCUCACGCCGUACUCCUUCAUUACCCAUACAUCAACAUGAGUUCCUGG
rnacentral:lncRNA from 1 species